rnacentral:rRNA from 1 species
UACGUAGGGUGCGAGCGUUAAUCGGAAUUACUGGGCGUAAAGCGUGCGCAGGCGGUGUGUCACGUCGGCCGUGAAAACCUGCAGCUUAACUGUGGGCGUGCGGUCGAUACGGGCAUCACUGGAGUUCGGCAGGGGAGACUGGAAUUCCUGGUGUAGCGGUGAAAUGCGCAGAUAUCAGGAGGAACACCGGUGGCGAAGGCGGGUCUCUGGGCCGAUACUGACGCUGAGGAGCGAAAGCGUGGGGAGCAAACAGG